GACGAACGCUGGCGGCGUGCUUAACACAUGCAAGUCGAACGGAAAGGCCUGCUUUCCCUUGUGGAUUGCGGGUACUCGAGUGGCGAACGGGUGAGUAACACGUGAGUGAUCUGCCCCCAACUUGGGUAUAAGCCUGGGAAACUGGGUCUAAUUCCCGAUAGGACUGCAGGGUGGUGCCUGUGGUGGAAAACGAUUUUCUAGUGGUUGGGGAUGAGCUCGCGGCCUAUCAGCUUGUUGGUGGGGUAAUGGCCUACCAAGGCGGCGACGGGUAGCCGGCCUGAGAGGGUGGACGGCCACAGUGGGACUGAGAUACGGCCCAGACUCCUACGGGAGGCAGCAGUGGGGAAUAGUGCACAAUGGGCGGAAGCCUGAUGCAGCGACGCCGCGUGGGGGAUGACGGCCUUCGGGUGGUAAACUCCUUUCGACCGCGAGGAAGCCACCUGGUUGGAAGGGUGGUGACGGUAGUGGUAGAAGAAGCACCGGCCAACUACGUG
rnacentral:rRNA from 1 species